rnacentral:lncRNA from 1 species
ACAAGGAACCUAACCGUCCGAUCUACGCUCACCAUAUGAGCUAUGCUUAGUUUGCCAUAGAUCUGGUGCUCAAAUUGCAUCAUCUUUUUCAUUUAGAAUAUUUCUUUAGUUUCUCAACUUGCGUCAUGUACACAAGAAAAAUGGGGGAUCUCAGGAAGAUUUAUCUGGCCUAAUUAAGUCACCGAAGAGAGACAACGGCAUUGCUCUUUUUUUUUGAACUGUCACCGGGGUAGGGAUAGCGAUCCCUCCACCUGAAUUUUAUUGCCAAGUCACCACCACAGGGGGGGGGGUCUUCAUUUUUACAAACAUCAACACACACUUAGAGGGGGAAAUCUAACAGAGCCCAGACUAGAUCACCGCAUCAACGCACGCACCCACGCAUCAAUAUCCUCGCGAUCCCGUGGACAUAGCCGCUCCCGCCAAAGAACAUCAUCCUCGCGACAGCAGCUUAGUACCCGAUUUAGGGACGGCACCAUAGCUUGGAAGACCACACCGUUCUGAUGCUUCCAUAGGUGCCAGCAGCAAAGGAGGACGAAGGUGACAGGAGGCAUUGCUCUUUUUAAGCCCAUGAAUUAACAAAUAAGCCCAACGCAAGGAAUAUUUAAUGUCAUGUAUGUAAUAGUG